rnacentral:rRNA from 1 species
GAUAACUGCUCGAAUCGCAGGGCCUCGUGCCGGCGAUGGUUCAUUCAAAUUUCUUCCCUAUCAACUUUCGAUGUUUGGGUAUUGGCCAAACAUGGUUACAACGGGUAACGGAGGGUUAGGGCUCGACCCCGGAGAAGGAGCCUGAGAAACGGCUACUACAUCCAAGGAAGGCAGCAGGCGCGCAAAUUACCCAAUCCCGACACGGGGAGGUAGUGACAAUAAAUACUGAUACAGGGCUCUUUCGGGUCUUGUAAUUGGAAUGAGUACAAUUUAAAUCCCUUAACAAGGAACAAUUGGAGGGCAAGUCUGGUGCCAGCAGCCGCGGUAAUUCCAGCUCCAAUAGCGUAUAUUAAAGUUGUUGUGGUUAAAAAGCUCGUAGUUGACCCUUGGGCCUGGCUGGCCGGUCCGCCUCACCGCGUGUACUGGUCCGGCCGGGCCUUUCCCUCUGUGGAACCCCAUGCCCUUCACUGGGCGUGGCGGGGAAACAGGACUUUUACUUUGAAAAAAUUAGAGUGCUCCAGGCAGGCCUAUGCUCGAAUACAUUAGCAUGGAAUAAUAGAAUAGGACGUGCGGUUCUAUUUUGUUGGUUUCUAGGACCGCCGUAAUGAUUAAUAGGGACAGUCGGGGGCAUCAGUAUUCAAUUGUCAGAGGUGAAAUUCUUGGAUCUAUUGAAGACUAACUACUGCGAAAGCAUUUGCCAAGGAUGUUUUCAUUAAUCAAGAACGAAAGUUAGGGGAUCGAAGACGAUCAGAUACCGUCGUAGUCCUGACCGUAAACUAUGCCGACUAGGGAUCGGACGAUGUUAUUUUUUGACUCGUUCGGCACCUUACGAGAAAUCAAAGUGCUUG